UGCAGUCGAACGCGUGUAGCAAUACACGAGUGGCGCACGGGUGAGUAACGCGUGGAUAUCUGCCUUUUGGUUCGGAAUAACCCCGGGAAACUGGGGCUAAUACCGGAUGGUUCCUUCGGGAUAAAGAUUUAUCGCCAAAAGAUGAGUCCGCGUACGAUUAGCUAGUUGGUGAGGUAAUGGCUCACCAAGGCGACGAUCGUUAGCUGGUCUGAGAGGACGAUCAGCCACACUGGGACUGAGACACGGCCCAGACUCCUACGGGAGGCAGCAGUGGGGAAUAUUGGACAAUGGGGGCAACCCUGAUCCAGCCAUGCCGCGUGAGUGAUGAAGGCCUUCGGGUUGUAAAGCUCUUUUGGCGGGGACGAUGAUGACGGUACCCGCAGAAUAAGCCCCGGCUAACUUCGUGCCAGCA
rnacentral:rRNA from 1 species